rnacentral:rRNA from 1 species
CCUACGGGCGGCAGCAGUGGGGAAUAUUGGACAAUGGGGGCAACCCUGAUCCAGCCAUGCCGCGUGUGUGAAGAAGGCCCUCGGGUUGUAAAGCACUUUCAGUGAGGAAGAACGCCUGGUGGUUAAUACCCAUCAGGAAAGACAUCACUCACAGAAGAAGCACCGGCUAACUCCGUGCCAGCAGCCGCGGUAAUACGGAGGGUGCGAGCGUUAAUCGGAAUUACUGGGCGUAAAGCGCGCGUAGGUGGCUUGAUAAGCCGGUUGUGAAAGCCCCGGGCUCAACCUGGGAACGGCAUCCGGAACUGUCAAGCUAGAGUGCAGGAGAGGAAUGUAGAAUUCCCGGUGUAGCGGUGAAAUGCGUAGAGAUCGGGAGGAAUACCAGUGGCGAAGGCGGCCUUCUGGACUGACACUGACACUGAGGUGCGAAAGCGUGGGUAGCAAACAGGAUUAGAUACCCUUGUAGUC